rnacentral:lncRNA from 1 species
AGAUAAGUUGUUAAAAAUUCGAAUUACCAUACCAAAAACGGGUGACCAGACUCUGGUCACUGAAAAUAAACGACACCAGACUAAUCUUGUAAUUUAUACCCAUUUAUAGCUGAAGUAAAGUGAAAUCAAAACAUGGCACCUAGCUGGAGCAAAAUGUUAUUUGAAAAAAAUGCAGGUUCUAAAAAUCUACUAGUGGUAUCUUCUGUUGCCAUUUCAUUAGGAGCAAUUAUACGUGCAUUUACAUGGAAUAAGAGGACACCACAAGGGAAAAUUGGAUAUUCAAGUUUAAAGUUACCAGAAGAG